rnacentral:rRNA from 1 species
GUGGGGAAUAUUGGACAAUGGGCGCAAGCCUGAUCCAGCAAUGCCGAGUGCAGGAAGAAGGCCUUCGGGUUGUAAACUGCUUUUGUACGGAACGAAACGGUCCGGGUUAAUACCCUGGGCUAAUGACGGUACCGUAAGAAUAAGCACCGGCUAACUACGUGCCAGCAGCCGCGGUAAUACGUAGGGUGCAAGCGUUAAUCGGAAUUACUGGGCGUAAAGCGUGCGCAGGCGGUUUUGUAAGACAGGCGUGAAAUCCCCGGGCUCAACCUGGGAAUUGCGCUUGUGACUGCAAGGCUGGAGUGCGGCAGAGGGGGAUGGAAUUCCGCGUGUAGCAGUGAAAUGCGUAGAUAUGCGGAGGAACACCGAUGGCGAAGGCAAUCCCCUGGGCCUGCACUGACGCUCAUGCACGAAAGCGUGGGGAGCAAACAGGAUUAGAUACCCUGGUAGUCC